CCGCACUCAUCGGGGAGCUUCAAUGACAAACAACCGAUUCGGUAUGUUGUCAUGGUGCUGAGAUUGGGCGAUUGCCCGGAACCCGCAACGACCUGAACCAGAUAAUGCUGGCGUAGGAAUUGAGUUUGGUCUGCCC
rfam:Vibrio sp. MEBiC08052 genomic scaffold scaffold00001, whole genome shotgun sequence.